AUUAUUAUUAUCUCAACAUUUUUAUGUGAAUUUCUGCUGCACUCUCAGGUAUACUGCUAUGUUCCUGAGGUGGGUGCAGCAUUGUCUUCUGGAUAUAUAGAAUAGUGUUUAUAUAAUACAUUAGGCUUUCUUCGUUGUGGGAUUAAUACAGUUGUUUCUGGUGUUGUCUUAGUGUUUUGUCUGUUGUGUAGAGUAUGUACAAUAUGAUUUGUAUUAUUUUGUUGGUAUUAUAGUGUUGACUCUUGAUUAUGUAAGAGUGUAUUUUGCAUUAUUCUAUUGGGUGGUGAUUGUGUAGAUCUUGUGAUGUGUGAGCCAUAUUGUUAUAUUCAGUAAUGAUUGCAUAGAGUACAUUUUGUGUCCUGCUUGAGUUGUGUUAUUGAAAUGAAAGUUUCUUGCAUAAUUUAUGAACUGUGUCCAGUAGGACUAUCUUUAGACAGUGUGUAAAGCAAUGAGUCCUGGUAUCAUUUGUAUGUUUCUGUUCACAUUUUUUGUUUAUCAUGUCUAGUCUCCAACUAUUAUUAUUGUUUUCACUUGUCCUACUUUCAAGCCCCUUGUAUUGUGACAUUUUCUCACCCUCCUUUCAGACAAUGUUUUGGUCAGAAGGGACUAAAAUGUCUAUCAGAGUACAGGCAUUUUUGCUCCAGUCCUAGAUAAUUGUGUUUGGACAGUUUUCUUGAAACAUCUUG